rnacentral:rRNA from 1 species
CCUACGGGAGGCAGCAGUGGGGAAUAUUGCACAAUGGGGGAAACCCUGAUGCAGCGACGCCGCGUGAGUGAAGAAGUAAUUCGUUACGUAAAGCUCUAUCAGCAGGGAAGAAACACUGACCUUACGGUCAGCAGACGGUACCUGCGUAAGAAGCACCGGCUACCUACGUGCUAGCAGCCGCGGUAAUACGAAGGGGGCAAGCGUUAUCCGGAUUUACUGGGUGUAAAGGGAGCGUAGAAGGUGCUCCAAGACUGGAGUGAAAUGCCGGAGCUUAACCGCCGAAGUGCUUUGGAAACUGGGGAACUAGAGUGCGGGAGGAGUAAGCGGAAUUCCUAGUGUAGCGGUGAAAUGCGUAGAUAUUAGGAGGAACACCGGUGGCGAAGGCGACUUACUGGACCGUAACUGACGUUGAGGCUCGAAAGCGUGGGGAGCAAACAGGAUUAGAUACCCUUGUAGUC